rnacentral:misc_RNA from 1 species
GAUGAAGAACGUAGCGAAAUGCGAUAAGUAAUGUGAAUUGCAGAAUCCAGUGAAUCAUCGAAUCUUUGAACGCACAUUGCGCCCGCCAGCAUUCUGGCGGGCAUGCCUGUUCGAGCGUCAUUUCAACCCUCGACCUCCCUUUGGGGAAGUCGGCGUUGGGGACCGGCAGCACACCGCCGGCCCUGAAAUGGAGUGGCGGCCCGCCCGCGGCGACCUCUGCGUAGUAAUCCAACUCGCACCGGAACCCCGACGCGGCCACGCCGUAAAACACCCAACUUCUGAACGUUGACCUCGAAUCAGGUAGGACUACCCGCUGAACUUAAGCAUAUCAAUAAGCGGAGGA